GGGCACUGGCAGAGCUGGGGGGGAGCCCAGGGCUGGGUGAACAGGGGGCUGCAGGUCGGGAGUGAAGGGCACUGGCAGAGCUGGGGGGGACCCCAGUGCUGGGUGAACAGGGGGCUGCAGGUCGGGAGUGAAGGGCACUGGCAGAGCUGGGGGGAGCCCAGGGCUGGGAUAGAAGGGGGCUGUGGGUCAGUAGUGAUGGGCACUGGCAGAGCUGGGUGGGACCCCAGUGCUGGGUGAACAGGGGGCUGCAGGUCGGGAGUGAAGGGCACUGGCAGAGCUGGGGGGAGCCCAGGGCUGGGAUAGAAGGGGGCUGUGGGUCAGUAGUGAGGGGCACUGGCAGAGCUGGGGGGGACCCCAGUGCUGGGUGAACAGGGGGCUGCAGGUCGGGAGUGAGGGGCACUGGCAGAGCUGGGGGGGAGCCCAGGGCUGGGUGAACAGGGGGCUGCAGGUCGGGAGUGAGGGGCACUGGCAGAGCUGGGGGGGAGCCCAGGGCUGGGUGAACAGGGGGCUGCAGGUCGGGAGUGAAGGGCACUGGCAGAGCUGGGGGGGACCCCAGUGCUGGGUGAACAGGGGGCUGCAGGUCGGGAGUGAAGGGCACUGGCAGAGCUGGGGGGAGCCCAGGGCUGGGUGAGCAGGGGGCUGCGGGUUGGGGUUGACAGGCAUUGGCCAGCCCAGCACGGCCACUGCCCUCAGUCCCC